AUACGGAGGAUGCGAGCGUUAUCCGGAUUUAUUGGGUUUAAAGGGAGCGUAGGUGGGAUAUUAAGUCAGCUGUGAAAGUUUGGGGCUCAACCUUAAAAUUGCAGUUGAUACUGGUUUCCUUGAAUACGGUACAGGUGGGCGGAAUUCGUGGUGUAGCGGUGAAAUGCUUAGAUAUCACGAAGAACUCCGAUCGCGAAGGCAGCUCACCGGGCCGGAACUGACACUGAUGCUCGAAAGUGCGGGUAUCAAACAGGAUUAGAUACCCUGGUAGUCCGCACAGUAAACGAUGAAUACUCGCUGUUUGCGAUACACGGUAAGCGGCCAAGCGAAAGCGUUAAGUAUUCCACCUGGGGAGUACGCCGGCAACGGUGAAACUCAAAGGAAUUGGCGGGG
rnacentral:rRNA from 1 species